rfam:Chlorocebus sabaeus isolate 1994-021 chromosome 24, whole genome shotgun sequence.
UAAGAUGAGAAGACCCUAUGGAGCUUUAAUGCAUUAAUGCAAAUAAAAACUCAAACAAGCCAACAGGUCCUAGCCUAUUAUCUCUGCCUUAAAAAUUUUGGUUAGGGUGACCUUGGAGCAUAAUUCAACCUCCGAACAAUCUAAACUAAGACCACACUAGUCUAAGCAAGUUAAUACACAUUGACCCAAUAAUUUGAUCAAUGGAAUAAGUAACACUAGGGAUAACAACACAAUCCUAUUCUAGAGUCCAUACUGACCAUAAAGUUUACAACCUCGAUGUUGGAUCAGGACAUCCUAAUGGUGUAUCCACUAAUAAGGGUUCGUUUGUUCAGUGAUCAAAGUCCUACGUGAUCUGAGUUCAGACAGGAGUAAUCCAGGUUGGUUUCUACCUA